rnacentral:snoRNA from 1 species
AACCACAGCCACACUGAAGAGUGGCUGGCACACUACCAGCUUCAAGACAGAAGGGGAAAGCCAGUCAGGCAAACUUACCCCACCCACCAUUUCUGGUGCUGGCCAGGGGAGUGCCUGGACACUU